rnacentral:snRNA from 11 species
AGCUUUGCGCAGUGGCAGUAUCGUAGCCAAUGAGGUUUAUCUGAGGCGUGAUUAUUGCUAAUUGAAAAACACCCUGCACGCUUGUGUGUGCCUGUCUCCAAACCCCAAGAAGACAAUGGAGAAGUUGGGAUUGUGAUGUGUUUAUCUCUCCUUGGGAAUGCUUUCUCA